GCCGGGGAAAUAUACAUAAAUUGAAAUAAAAUUGUUUUUUACCCACUCCAAGUCCUUCAUGUAGGAGAAUUUGUCCUACUCAAUGUUCAGGAAUUUCUAGGUUGAUACAAUGAUAUCAUGGAUUGCAACAUCGUACGAGGGAAUAUUACUUGAAUAGGAUACAUGAUCCUAAAGUGAAAGUGAACGUUACAUCUUUUUUCAACAUUCAUUUUAUGGAUUCAAGGAAUCUCUUCACGAAAAAUCGGCUUCGCUGUAGCGAACAGCCCGAAUCAUUGAAACAAAAAUCGAUUGUAUUUUCAUUUUUCCAAUUUGCAUGUGUAUGGAUGCGAGGGUUUGGAACUGUCCGUAGGCGUAAAGUCAGGGCAGAUAAGUGUAUUGGAUGUUGUACACUUGCCUCAAGGCGCGGAUUACAUCCAUGGUCACGGGUUUGGGCUGACAUGAGUUACCUGAUGACCGGACUAGAUAAAUGGCACAGUGGCCCCAUUUGAUAAAUUAGAUGUACUUGUAGUUUGAUUCUAUGUUAUAUAUCGGAACAUAAACAACUUCUAACCUAACGAUCAGUACCCUUGAACUAAUAAAGAACACAUCAUGGCUCGUGCUGCUGUCUUUAUAGUUUUUUGUGCUUUCGCGCUCGUGGUUUCGCAAGCUGGAAACAUCCGCAAUAUCAUUCUCAACGAGGAUGACCUUGUUGGCACUUGCACUGGUACCUGUUCCACGGUCCAUACAGUUUAUAACACGAAAGGAUGUAGGAAACUAAGUGGCUGUCGUCUCAGCUCGUAUGGAUGGAAUAGGGACUUUGUGCGUUGUGACUUCUGCUCGUGCCGCUGCGAAAUGGACACGACCAAUAAAGAUUACAUCGUUGAGAGAAAGAGGCUGAGUACUAACGAGGACGAAAUUUAUGGGACAUGCACCGGUGUAUGUCGCAAAUGGGGAUUGGUGAGGACUAACCUAAAGGGCUGCCAAGAAAUUUGGGACUGCGAAAGAGAGGCAUAUGGUUGGGUCCGUGGCUUCGUCAGGUGCAACUACUGCACGUGCUGGUGUGUUAAUCGAAAGUACUCUCAGAGGUACAGGAUGAAGAAUAUGAAGUACGAUCUCAGUGACAUGAGUAUCAAAAGGGGUCAACUGAGCGGUCUGUAUGAAACUACCUUAGAGAACGACAGCAAUAGUACUCAGACUGUGACGCGCGUCGUCACUUACAGCCAUCGCCGGACGACGGAAAUGUCUACCAGUCAUUCGAUGGGAUAUGGGUUAACUGUAUCUGUCGAGGCAACAAUUGGGAUGAAUGUGAUUGGUGUUUCAACCUCGAUAUCUAACCAGCUGACCUUUGGUUUCCAACACACGAUCGGGAGGAGCAACAUCACCACCAAGGAGGACAAGAUACAAGCAUCCGUCGUUGUGCCGCCUCGUUCCUCGUUGAAAGCCACCAUUUUCGGGCACCGCUUGCACGUUGAUAUACCGUUUUCUUGCGAUCUUGUAACGACGUAUGGUGACGGAAGUACACGCACCAAGGCUAUUACAGGGGUCUAUACGAAUGUUGACACCGGACGAUUCACGGUGAAGUACGGGGCAGCGCAACCAAUUAAGCUCAAAUUCAAGUAAUUUUCGAGCUAGCAAGUGACUCGAAGCCACGCAACGACAGUCCUCCUGUCGCCGAGCGCAGACUGGCAUCGAAUAUGAAUAUGAAUUAUGAAUCGCUUUAUCCCUGAAAUGAUGUAUGUAGACAUCUUUUUUCGUGUGCUAUCAAUGGCUGUAUGUUGGUUAUCUUAUAGUAUAUAUCUAAAAUCUUCUUGUGAAUGAACUCAAUUAAAUUUUUUGAAUGGUGUGUUUGCCAUAAGUCGUCACUAUGUGGAUCCGAUGGCAGAAAGGUAUCUUUAUUGAAAGAUACUCCAGUGGAUCCCAGCAAAGUCAACAUUUUUAUAAACCUGUUUUAUUUGUAAUAUUUCUCUGAAAAAUAUGAUAUUGUAAUUAGAAUUCUGAUACUCGUCCAGUAACACCCACGUACGAAUUUUUAUAAGAUAGGGCCAGAAAAAAAAUUGGUAAAUCGUCUUGUGCGAACUUAAAGCUCAAAUAUAUGUGUGCUUACUCCUAACUCGAGGUACAUUUCAUAUGUUUUCAUUAAUAAUAAAAGAUCAAUUUAGCAUGCUCACAUAAAAGCUGAAUAUAAAUAUCAA